rnacentral:rRNA from 1 species
UACGUAGGGUGCAAGCGUUAAUCGGAAUUACUGGGCGUAAAGCGUGCGCAGGCGGUUCGGAAAGAAAGAUGUGAAAUCCCAGAGCUUAACUUUGGAACUGCAUUUUUAACUACCGGGCUAGAGUGUGUCAGAGGGAGGUGGAAUUCCGCGUGUAGCAGUGAAAUGCGUAGAUAUGCGGAGGAACACCGAUGGCGAAGGCAAUCCCCUGGGCCUGUACUGACGCUCCAUGCACGAAAGCGUGGGGAGCAAACAGG